UGCCAGCAGCCGCGGUAAUACGGAGGGAGCUAGCGUUGUUCGGAAUUACUGGGCGUAAAGCGCGCGUAGGCGGUUCGAUAAGUCAGAGGUGAAAGCCCGGAGCUCAACUCCGGAACUGCCUUUGAAACUGACGAACUAGAAUCUUGGAGAGGCGAGUGGAAUUCCGAGUGUAGAGGUGAAAUUCGUAGAUAUUCGGAAGAACACCAGUGGCGAAGGCGACUCGCUGGACAAGUAUUGACGCUGAGGUGCGAAAGCGUGGGGAGCAAACAGGAUUAGAUA
rnacentral:rRNA from 1 species